UGCGUAGGCGGUUUGUUAAGUAUAAAUUAAAGCCUGAGGCUUAACCUCAGUUCGUUUUAUAAACUGGCAGACUAGAGUAUGGCAGAGGUAAACGGAAUUUCUAGUGUAGCGGUUAAAUGCGUAGAUAUUAGAAAGAACACCAGUGGCGAAGGCGGUUUACUGGGCCACAACUGACGCUGAGGCACGAAAGCGUGGGGAGCAAAUA
rnacentral:rRNA from 1 species